CUUGAUCGUGCCGAGCCAGAGCGGCUGUUCCCGUUCCUGCCCAUAGGUGGCCAGUAGCGCCUGCGCCUC
rnacentral:antisense_RNA from 1 species